rnacentral:rRNA from 1 species
UACGUAGGGUGCAAGCGUUAAUCGGAAUUACUGGGCGUAAAGAGUGUGUAGGCGGUGUUCCCAGUCUGUUGUGAAAUCUCCCGGCUUAACUGGGAGGGUGCAGCGGAAACUAGAAUGCUAGAGGGUGGGAGAGGUAAGCGGAAUUCCUGGUGUAGCGGUGAAAUGCGUAGAUAUCAGGAGGAACACCUGUGGUGUAGACAGCUUACAGGACCACUUCUGACGCUGAGACACGAAAGCGUGGGUAGCAAACAGG